UACGGAGGGUGCAAACGUUGCUCGGAAUCAUUGGGCGUAAAGCGCACCUAGGCGGCUCAGCAAGUCGGGUGUGAAAGCCCUCGGCUCAACCGAGGAAGUGCAUUCGAAACUACUGAGCUUGAAUACUGGAGAGGAUCGCGGAAUUCCCGGUGUAGAGGUGAAAUUCGUAGAUAUCGGGAGGAACACCAGUGGCGAAGGCGGCGAUCUGGACAGAUAUUGACGCUGAGGUGCGAAAGCGUGGGGAGCAAACAGG
rnacentral:rRNA from 1 species